rnacentral:tRNA from 1 species
ACUUGAAUAGCUUAUUUUUAUUUAGAGCGCGACACUGAAGAUGUUGAUGUGGUAUUUUGUUACCUUUAAGUG